rnacentral:lncRNA from 1 species
CUUAGUGAUAUGGUUUAGUGGAGGACUUGUUAGUGUUAGGUCAGAGGUUGGACUAGGUGACCUUGGAGGUCUCUUCCAACCUAGAUGAUUCUGUGAUUCUGAAAAUCCAGAAACAGGACGAUGCUUGGAAGAACUUAACCUAUGGAGGAGAAAGGCCGUCUCUUGUUAGGCAAUAGGUUUGAAAGGCUGGUUUCCGCACCUCCCUGUGCAUUUUGAAGGAGGCAAUCUCUAAUCAGAUGCAAUCUAAAUGCAUCUAAGCUGUAGAUUUGAUGUUUCCAUAAGCUAUAAAGGAACUUAACGUGUUUUUUAAAUUGAGGCUCGUGUGCAUGCGUUUGGCUUGUCCCGAUAGCUGUUGUAGAUGAUCACUCACGUGCCCAAAAACUCCGUGUGCCUAUGUUGGAUAUGCCCCUCGGUAAAGGACCGCAUCCCGUAUGUUCAGCUUUUCUUCCUUACUGUGUCAUAUAUAGGAGAAAAGCUCUUUCCAGAGAGAUGGAGAAGGAAGGAAUUAUACCUCUGUCUCAUCCUGUGAGACCAGAAGACGCAACAAGGACACAGGUUCUUUGGAUCGCCGGCGAUAAAUUCACUGUCCGCGAAAGCAAGCGAGCACGCAUGAAAUACACAGCGUCCCAGUGCGGGGGGAAGAGAGGCUCAGCUCAUCGACUGAUCCUGGAAGUCAGAAAGGCAAUUACUCCACAACUGCCCAAAGCAGCGAUAGUGAGAAGCCCACUUCCACCAUCCCCUCCCCACGUAGGGACGGACAGACGGAUGCCGCUCUUUGCCUUGCCCGCCAGGGGAAGGGGAGAACGACCGGGCAGGGAGCCCCACCGCAGCCCCCCGCCCGGGAGUCCUGCACAGCAGUUUAAUAAAGUUUGCUUUCUGGCCCAUUACCCCUUUGGUGGUUGCCAUCCCGGGAAGUGGCUGUCGCUGUCUGUGUGUGGGUGCAGGUUCGGUAGCGGGGUGGGUGUGGAGUGGGCAGGGGCCGGGGGAGGGGUGGCCCCGUGUCUGUCGGCCGCUGGAUGCUGACGACCCAUCGGAGUGUGGGGCCAGCCCUGCCGGGUGGGGGGGCAGCUGUCUAUUGUGGGACGGGGAGGGCAGCUCGCUGCUGUCUUUGCUCCCCGGGCUGGGGGGACUGCCCUGUGUGGCGGGGGCUGCUUGCACAGGUGCAAGUGGGGAGGGGGCUGGGCGUUCCUGGCAGGACCCCCAGGGCAGGGGAUGGCGUUGUGGAGGCCGGGUCCCGUGGGAUUGGCGGCUGGGACAGGGAAAGCCCAGGCGGGGAUGGCACGGGGUGGCAGGCACAGG